UACGUAGGGUGCGAGCGUUAAUCGGAAUUACUGGGCGUAAAGGGCGCGUAGGCGGCAAUUCAAGUCAUCUGUGAAAUCUCCGGGCUUAACCCGGAACGGUCAGAUGAUACUGCUUUGCUAGAGUGCGGAAGGGGCAAUCGGAAUUCUUGGUGUAGCGGUGAAAUGCGUAGAUAUCGAGAGGAACACCUGAGGUGAAGACGGGUUGCUGGGCCGACACUGACGCUGAUAGCGCGAAAGCCAGGGGAGCAAACGGG
rnacentral:rRNA from 1 species